rnacentral:rRNA from 1 species
AAUAGAUACCCAGGUAGUCCACGCCGUAAACGAUGAGUGCUAAGUGUUAGGGGGUUUCCGCCCCUUAGUGCUGCAGCUAACGCAUUAAGCACUCCGCCUGGGGAGUACGGUCGCAAGACUGAAACUCAAAGGAAUUGACGGGGGGCCCGCACAAGCGGUGGAGCAUGUGGUUUAAUUCGAAGCAACGCGAAGAACCUUACCAGGUCUUGACAUCCCAUUGACCACUAUGGAGACAUAGUUUUCCCUUCGGGGACAACGGUGACAAGUGGUGCAUGGUUGUCGUCAGCUCGUGUCGUGAGAUGUUGGGUUAAAUCCCGCAACGAGCGCAACCCUUGUUCUUAGUUGCCAUCAUUUAGUUGGGCACUCUAAGGAGACUGCCGGUGACAAACCGGAGGAAGGUAGGGAUGACGUCAAAUCAUCAUGCCCCUUAUGACCUGGGCUACACACGUGCUACAAUGGACGGUACAAACGGUUGCCAACCCGCGAGGGGGAGCUAAUCCGAUAAAACCGUUCUCAGUUCGGAUUGUAGGCUGCAACUCGCCUACA